UAGGAAGUGGUGUAGAGGAAGCACGAAGAGUUUUGAGUUCUUCAGGUUGGGUUCGAUCCCCUUCUUUCUAG
rnacentral:tRNA from 2 species